ensembl:lncRNA
CACCUGCGACCCACAUACAGCUGUCUCUUGAUUUAAGUUAAAACGUUUCAGCAUUACUCAGAAUGUAAAGACAGAUACUUAAAGGUGCUCUAAGCGAUGCCGGGAGUCGUAACUUCUUGUUGACGUUCGAAUUGUUGUCAAACAAAACGGAGGCUAGCUAGACCCUCCCUCCUCCUCAUCCGUGCACUAAGCCCCCCAAACCCCACCCCCCAAAUCUUUCUUGUCGGUUAUUGGCUGUAACAGUUUGUUAUGUUUCGUGGUGCGGGUGUGCCCAGUUUGUUUUUCUUGUUGUUUGUGGAGCCUGUGGUGUCUAGAGAGACCGUGUUUUUUACAGUGUGUUCAGGGGACAGGCAGCUAGCGGAUAGUGAGGAGAUGUUUGCAGGAUGUGACAAAAGAUGUUUUGGCCUAAAAAACGUGUGACAUCACUUAGAGCACCUUUAAUUAAUAUAACAUUUAAUUUAACUAAAACAAAUAUCAAAUACAUGUCUAAUACUUCAUCAACGCGUCAUACUCCUGGAAAAGACCCACAUAAAGCGCACAUUUUAAAAUGAUUAAUAUCCACAUCACUGCUGUAUUUUUCAGAUGUCAGAUCAAAUUGAGGGGAACAAGCCUGCAUCCCAAUGUGCACACUAUCCAUCCUAAAUAGUAUAUAAGAAAAUACAGUAUAUAUUUUUUGUAUGAUAGUUGUUUUUAUAGAACAUCUCUGCAGUGAAUGUUUUUGUUUAAAUAAUUCCAAGGAUAUGAAGUAGAUUAUUAUUUUAACGUUAUUACAUUGCAUUUCUACGUAGGCCUAUAUUUGAUGGCUUUUUUUAUUCUGAUGCGAGUGAUGUACCGUUUUUACACACUUAUCUCAUUAAAAGGGGAAAAGUCUGUCCAUCUUCAUUUCUGAAAAUGUGUAACAUUUGAGACUCCAGCUCGGUCACAUUCAUAUUUCAUUAAUGUUAAUUAAAUAACUUGAAGUUCAGAAAGGAGUUAGAACUACCACUUGAGGUGUAGGAAACACUGGGACAUGCCAUUAUGUACAGUAAUAGUACGAUUUGAUUUGACAUUUGAACUUAAAUUGAAGUGUUCAAGCCAUUAAAGGGUUAGUUCACCCAAAAAUGAAAAUUCUGUCAGU